rnacentral:rRNA from 1 species
UACGAAGGGGGGCUAGCGUUGCUCGGAAUCACUGGGCGUAAAGGGUGCGUAGGCGGGUCUUUUAAGUCAGGGGUGAAAUCCUGGAGCUCAACUCCAGAACUGCCUUUGAUACUGAAGAUCUUGAGUCCGGGAGAGGUGAGUGGAACUGCGAGUGUAGAGGUGAAAUUCGUAGAUAUUCGCAAGAACACCAGUGGCGAAGGCGGCUCACUGGCCCGGUACUGACGCUGAGGCACGAAAGCGUGGGGGAGCAAACAGG